rnacentral:rRNA from 1 species
UACGGGGGGGGCAAGCGUUGUUCGGAAUCACUGGGCGUAAAGCGCACGCAGGCGGAUUGAUAAGUCAGGGGUGAAAUCCCGGGGCUCAACCUCGGAAUUGCCUUUGAUACUGUCUGUCUUGAGUCCGGGAGAGGUGAGUGGAAUUCCUAGUGUAGAGGUGAAAUUCGUAGAUAUUAGGAAGAACACCAGUGGCGAAGGCGGCUCACUGGCCCGGUACUGACGCUCAUGUGCGAAAGCGUGGGGAGCAAACAGG